rnacentral:rRNA from 1 species
UACGAAGGGGACUAGCGUUGUUCGGAAUCACUGGGCGUAAAGCGCACGUAGGCGGAUUCGUAAGUCAGGGGUGAAAUCCCGGGGCUCAACCUCGGAACUGCCUUUGAUACUGCGGGUCUUGAGUCCGAUAGAGGUGGGUGGAAUUCCUAGUGUAGAGGUGAAAUUCGUAGAUAUUAGGAAAGAACACCGGUGGCGAAGGCGGCCCACUGGAUCGGUACUGACGCUGAGGUGCGAAAGCGUGGGGAGCAAACAGGAUAGAAACCCGUGGUAGUCCAAGACCAAUG